CCGCGCUAUUUCCUGCCCCGAGCGCCGCGGCGCUGUCGGGAUAUUUCCUGUGCUGGAGAGGAAGAAAGCCGCUCAUUUUCUCGUACGCUGCGUCUCUCAGCCGGGGUCCCCGCGGAGGGGAAAGGCUUGUCAGAGGAGGCUGCGAAAGGUUUUCGCCCGGACCUGCGACGUGUUCGUGUCACCCUCACCGACGGGCCGAGGCUAGCAGUGCCCACUCGGCGGCCGGGCACGAAGCGAUGGACGUCGUCCCGUUACUUUCCGAAACGAGCCGGGGGAGGAAAGCUCCAGCUCCGCCACAGUUCCGCCCUGAAGGCAGAGGCGCCGAGGGUGGUACUUUCCCGUUCCCCACUCCGGGAUUCUGCUCAUCGCAGGGUGCCCCCCCGAGGGGAGUGGGGGCUGGGGGGACCUCCCAGUCCCUUUCCCCGUGAUUAGAGCACUUCUGGAUGGCGCGAGAGGCCAGUUCAAGCGUUUUCGCUUUAGGGGAGGCUUUGAAACCCGAUCUACGCUUGUCCGGGCAGUGCUGUAACCUCUGAGCUGUGCCUUAGAGCCGCGAGCGACCCGCCCCGCAGAAUGCGGACUCACCGGCUCGGAGUUCAGCGGCUCUUCGGGUGGCUACCGGGUCCCUGUCGAUGGGGACAGUGUCCUAGGGCCGGCCGAUCCGCAGCAGCGGGGCCGUUUCCAUCUCGGUGGUGGACAACGUCCUGGGUCACGGCACCGACUCUGCCGGAUUUUUCCCCUCCUCCCGCUUCUCGGUCUCUUGCUUCAGAACUUCCUACAGCCGUGCCUUGAGCUCAGCGGGAGCCAACCGGGGAAAUGUCCAGGAAUAUUUUCAAAUACCUCUGGAAAAGUCUCUUUGUCUCCACUGCCUAAAGAGGAACGGAAGGAGGGAACGUCCCAACUGAAAUAGCUGGAGCAGAACUACUUCACCUACGUGCUGCACACUGGGCUGUGCAUUGUUUCUUUUUGAGGACCUGGUGUUCAUUAUGAUGAUGGAUAAACCUAAUCCGUGAUGUUAAAAGUCCUGGUUAUUUUUCAUCGGUUUAACGUGGCAGUCACCUCUUUUGUCUCAUGCAGUGCCUGGGCAUUCGGCGAGCCAUCAGAGCCUCGGGAGGGGCAACCCUCACAGCUGCUCAGUCCGAGGCAUGUACCUCUGAGACGUCCCAGAGUCAGAGGAGCUGAUCUAAGCCACGUGUCAAUCGAAAUUCCACCACCUUGGCUGCUUUUUCCAAAAUCUCAACGUCUCCCCGUGAAACUGGCAGCUUUUCAUUAUGGGUACAGGUGGUGUAAAAGGCCGUCUGUGUUGAUGGUGCAAUACUGUGAUGCUUGAGGAUCUGCCUUAACAUCGCUAGAAGCUGGAUUUCAUCAGAAAGUGAGAGUGUCACGUGCCUUGUAUUUGAGUAAGCAUGAAACAACUUUCCAGCGGUGCAGGUUAUCUUGGGGCGUUCAGUUGCUUCUUUGCAUACAAAAACAUUCUUAUCAUGAGCAAAGCUCAGAUGUCUGGCAUUUUUUUUCCGAGUUGCUGCUCAAUGGAUAUAGAAACGUUGCAGAUAACUACUCUAACACAGGAGAAAAGACAUUGCAUCCAGUACCCUUGGCAGCAAUGUUUUUUUUUUUUUUUUUUCCUUUUUAGUAGCCGUUUUAUCGAUAAAAACAUCUUACUACUAUUUUUUUUUCUAAACAAGUUUAAUUUAGACCUUAGCACAGCGUACACCUGAAAAUAAAGUAGUGCUGUUCUUUAUAUUCUCAUCCCUGUGAAUGUGGCAUGAAACUUUUCAUCCAAAGAAGAUCUACUUAUGUGAGGUAAUCUGAGGAAGACUGAUAGCCUUCAGCAAUGCAUUUCCACAAGAACCAGUGAUAAGUAGGAGCAGAAGAGCAAAAAGGUCAGUAAUCAGAAGUGUGUUCAUUGCUCCUGAAUGCAGGAACCCAGGAAUGCAGUUCACUUUCACUUUGCAUCUCCUUCUCUUUGAGUGCUGCACAGCAAAGUCCCCGUGGUCUUUCUUGUGAGAGAACCUGUCAAUCACAGGUGAAAGAAGGGGAUCUGUUUCCUACUUUCCAUCUUGGCCUCUAUCAUUGUAGAACUUACAUGAACACCCCAUGAAUCUCAGAUCUCUAGUGCUUUGGCUGCAGUUUUAUUUUGCUGUUCAAAAAUGUACAGAAGGACAUAUGAAUGAAGCAUAUUUUUUGACAGAUUCCAAUCAAAGCACAACAUUCCUAAAAGAGGAACAUUGAUGAUGAUCACUGCAGGAGCCGUCCUAUUGAUGGAACAAAAUGUUCAGAUUGAGAAGGAGGCGUUGCCAAAAAGCUCAGUUGCCAUGGAAGAAAAACAUCAGCCAUGAGUGGAAGGAAGGGACCUCUUUCCUAAAUUUGUCCCUGUGCUCUGUCCUUGUAAGACUGACAUGAACAACCUAUGAAGACCCUCUUCCCAGUGUUAUGCCUACAGGAACAUGUAGAUUUGCUAUAAGAAAUGAAAAGAAGGGCAUGAGAAUACAGGAUGCUUUUGGAAAUAAUUCAGUUAAAUCCUCAAGGUUUCUGACAGAGGAACACUGAUCGCUGUCAUCAUGGGAGCUGUCUCACCAACCAGUAAAUGCAUUCAGUACAUUGCACAGCGCACCCAUUUGACUUGGAGAACAAGCAUGAAAGAUUAGUUGGCGCCUCAUUUUAAGUAAAUAUAAAGACUUCUAGUCAACUACUACAUUGAAACAUGCUGUGGGUAAGUACUGGGUUAAAACAACUGAACAAACAAAAGCAACUGAAAGCGAAGCGUAAGGAAUGGAAAGUGUCAAAGACGAAGCAAACUUAAUGUGAUACGCAGAGAAGCACGAGAGGCAAUUCUCGCUGUGAGCCACAUGAUGCCACUCUGAGCUAAGAAACACACAAUACGACUGGGAAAAGGGAGGGGAACACCUUCUGGUGUCCAUGGGAGGAUUAUUAUUAUUAUUAUUAUUUUUUUCUGAACAAGCAGCCACUGAUACUACAGGUAAGUCAUUCGUACCCAAAAGGUAUGUAGCUGAGAUACAGAUGUAGGGUUUUGCACUGCUUAAUUGUAUGCUCUUUAUGCUGGAAGGAAUAAAUGUUUCCUGGGUACUGCCUGUAGGUUUCGAGCCUUCUGAUGAUUGUGUGCAUACCAACGGGGAGAGCUGUUUCUCUCACUGGUGACAAUCCCUUCCCUGGAUGUCAGCACAUUUGGAAAUAGAGGAAAUCUCUCAGGAGGCAUUAUUUAGUGGAUGUAAUCAUUUUGUACUUGACUUCUCCCCAGUUUGUGCACUUGCCCAGUUGGCUUCAGUCUAGGUCGUGUGCUCUCUUGUAGCAUGGCUCAAUCUAAAAUGUGAAUAGAUGCUGAAGUUAUAUAUCAAUGUCAGAGGAACUAAUUCUUUACAGCCACGUGUUUUUUUUUUUGUUGUUGUUGUUGUUUUGUUGUUUUUUUUUGUUUUGGUUGUUAUUUUGUUUUGUUUUGUUUUUGAGGACUUGCCACCACUGAAAGAACUAAAAUAACUCAUUUAAAAAUAAAAACUCCACCAAUUAGACUGCUUUUUGCAGAUUUAUCUCAGCUUCUUCAUGUGGACUUGAUGACUUCUGAAUAUAGAUAGAAGUGUGUAAAAGACAAAUUGUUUGUGCAUCUGACUGCUCAGUGUUACAAUGCUUGACAACUUGCUUUACCCUCUGUAGAAGAAGAGAAUCUCACGUGGGCUGGAUUUGAGUAAGCACAAAACAGCUUUUCCAAUGUGUAGGUUAUUUUGGAUUGUUCCUUUGUGUAUACAGUCACCUUUAUCCUAGCAAAGCUCGGAUCACUGGCAUUGUGGGAUCACUUAUUUAAGCCUUUGCUCAGUGGAUGUGGAGGUGAUGCAGACAAGUAUUUGGAAAACAAAAGAAAGGACAGCAUGUCCUACACUCUUGGAAACAAUGCUUGUUUUGUCUUUAGCAGAUGUUUUGCUGAUUAAAACUUCCUGCUACACUUUUUUUGGAGCAAGCUUAAUUUAGAUGUUAGCGCAGCUCUAAGAUACUUGAAAAUAAAAC
rnacentral:lncRNA from 1 species